rnacentral:rRNA from 1 species
CCUACGGGAGGCUGCAGUGGGGAAUAUUGGACAAUGGGCGAAAGCCUGAUCCAGCCAUGCCGCGUGUGUGAAGAAGGCCUUCGGGUUGUAAAGCACUUUCAGUGGGGAAGAAAGCCUUGGGGCUAAUACCCUCGAGGAAGGACAUCACCCACAGAAGAAGCACCGGCUAACUCCGUGCCAGCAGCCGCGGUAAUACGGAGGGUGCGAGCGUUAAUCGGAAUUACUGGGCGUAAAGCGCGCGUAGGCGGUCUGAUAAGCCGGUUGUGAAAGCCCCGGGCUCAACCUGGGAACGGCAUCCGGAACUGUCAGGCUAGAGUGCCGGAGAGGAAGGUAGAAUUCCCGGUGUAGCGGUGAAAUGCGUAGAGAUCGGGAGGAAUACCAGUGGCGAAGGCGGCCUUCUGGACUGACACUGACGCUGAGGUGCGAAAGCGUGGGUAGCAAACAGGAUUAGAUACCCCAGUAGUC